AACAAGGUUAAUGCCUCAUUGAAUCCUUAAACAUCAGAGUUACAAUGUACCAGUCCUCGAAUUGACCUAACUAACCAAGUAUUCCUUUAAACCACAAGUUAUAUCGCAAACUGCCAUUUAUAACACAAUUUUAUUCAUUCAAUCAUAAUUUCCACCAAUUGCUAAGAAAUUCAGAAUAGCUUUACAUUCACUCCAAACCAUAUAUGAAUGACUCUCAUCCUAAUUGAUAUCUCAACCAUUCCAUGAGCAAAUUUUAAAUUAAUAAAUUACCAGAUUAACAUACUUAAGUUGGUCUUCAAGUAUAGUGAAGAUGUAAUCUUAGACCAUCUUGUUAACACAUCCGAUAAUCUUAUAAUUCAUGUUUUCAGUUUUUGAAUACUUGUGUGUAUUCUUCUCCCUAAAAUAAUCCCAAAUUCACUUGUUUAUUCUUACACAAAUCUCAACAUUCCAAAUGAACAGUAAAUUAAAACCCAGUUAGUUCAUUGAUAUAUAAAAUACUCCAGAUACCCUUCUGUUCCCUA
rnacentral:lncRNA from 1 species